AACUCUUGCAGAUUCCAAAGCUCCUCAGCGAAGCUCUGACAGGGGCCAGGGCAGGGGCUGUGCUGAAGCAGGCAGAAGCAUCCAGGAGGGCGGCCCAUGAGGGCAUUGUAUGGUUCCAGACCAUCUUGAUGCCACAUCAUCAGCACCGAAUAACAAUCCCAGGGGCCUCUGCUUUUGAUUCAGAGGAUUCCUUGCCCAUCUUUUUUCAGGGCCUCAGCAACCCCGGUGCUGCGCAAUGUUCUGCCUGCAUGUUUUCCAGCUCAGCUGAACCAACCACCACUGAAAGCCAUCAGCACUGCAGAGCCAGGCUAACUGUACAAGUGGCACCUCUGGUCUCGGCUGUCUGCUGCAUCAACGAAUCCCCAGCACAGUCCUGACUCCACAGUCUCAAUUGCUGGUGCUGAGAACUGGCAGAGUAAUAGCGAUCGCUGCGUCUCUAGAGGCAGGGGUGAGUGUCUAGCCUGGCAGCCAGGCCGGGCUUGGCCAGAGGGGCUGUGCGGUCCAGGAGAUAGAGCACUGAACAGGGACACAGCAGCUGGGGGUUCUAUUCCCAGCUCUUCUGCAGGGGUGACUUGGUGGCGGGCUCUUCCUCUCCCAGCAAGGGGCCCAAUGCCUUGUCCUGGCUUUGGGACUGUUUCCAUGGCAACACAAAACACCGGAAGACCUCUGAGCUGGGAUAUAACCCUAAAUGCAACACUUGCUGCUGCAGACUGUCCCCAUGGUGAUGGUUGCCAGGCAAACAGCGAGGUGCUUUCAGCUUGAAGUGUGAUAAGAAUAUCGCCUGCUACCUAGGACAAGGACUGCCAGCCCUCUAGCUCCAGAGCAGAACUCCAACACUCGCUGCCUAGAGUUAGGAAGGCCUGAUGG